rnacentral:rRNA from 1 species
AGUGAACGCUGGCGGUAGGCCUAACACAUGCAAGUCGAACGGCAGCACAGUAAGAGCUUGCUCUUACGGGUGGCGAGUGGCGGACGGGUGAGGAAUACAUCGGAAUCUACUUUUUCGUGGGGGAUAACGUAGGGAAACUUACGCUAAUACCGCAUACGACCUACGGGUGAAAGCAGAGGAUCUUCGGACCUUGCGCGAUUGAAUGAGCCGAUGUCGGAUUAGCUAGUUGGCGGGGUAAAGGCCCACCAAGGCGACGAUCCGUAGCUGGUCUGAGAGGAUGAUCAGCCACACUGGAACUGAGACACGGUCCAGACUCCUACGGGAGGCAGCAGUGGGGAAUAUUGGACAAUGGACGCAAGCCUGAUCCAGCCAUACCGCGUGGGUGAAGAAGGCCUUCGGGUUGUAAAGCCCUUUUGUUGGGAAAGAAAAGCAGCAGGUUAAUACCCCGCUGUUCUGACGGUACCCAAAGAAUAAGCACCGGCUAACUUCGUG